UACGGGGGGAGCAAGCGUUGUUCGGAUUUACUGGGCGUAAAGGGCGCGUAGGCGGCCACUGCAAGUCAGUUGUGAAAUCUCCGGGCUUAACCCGGAAAGGUCAACUGAUACUGCAGGGCUAGAGUGCAGAAGGGGCAACUGGAAUUCUCGGUGUAGCGGUGAAAUGCGUAGAUAUCGAGAGGAACACCUGCGGCGAAGGCGGGUUGCUGGGCUGACGCUGACGCUGAGGCGCGAAAGCCAGGGGAGCGAACGGG
rnacentral:rRNA from 1 species